GGUGGGAUGCAGGAGUGGUUUAUCUGCCAGGUCUCGAAAACCUUGGGGGUGAAUUUCGCCCACGAGAGUUCGAAUCUCUCUCCCACCG
rnacentral:tRNA from 1 species